GAACACAAAAUGGCGACACGUGGUUAGCAUUCGUCGCCAACGAGAAAUUGGGGUCGGCCCGAAAGCUCUAGAAUGCACCCCUCUUCCUCCCCGGGGCCUUCCACCUCCGCGAGUUUUAUGACUUAAAAAAGCCCACAGGCUGGUCUGAAGGUCGGAGGCCUAAUUUUAACGCGUUUUCCUCCCUUUAAUUUGAAACGGGAACGCGAAUGACUGUAAAAUAGGAAGACAAACAUAAAGAUGAAGUGCUUAAUUCAAGGUCACACAAUGUCGGGGAUGGACCUCCAGAUUUCCUUACUGGUGAGACGUGGUCUUGUAACACAGUGGUUAAGAAUGUGACUUUGGAGCCAGCCUGCUAGGGGCUGAAUUCUGACUCAGCCAUUUACUAACUGUGUGACCUUAGGUCACAGAAUUUUCCACACUCCUUGACAGAGGUGCUUAACCCUUAUCCAUCAGCAUUCUCAGACAGCACCUCCGGUUAGGGACAGUAUCUGACCGUCCGACAUCCCUGCAGCCCCCAUGUGUCACACAGACUCAGCCUCAGGUAGAUGGUUUCCGUAGAUGGUGGCUUUCUUUGGACCCUUGACAUCAACCAGUUACUAUUUGGGGACCAGAUGUGCAGAGGUAAUGAAUACCAGGGAAUCAGGAAACCACUGGAUCAGUUCUUUGAGCCACAGAACAACACUCAUCCCAGCAGCUGGGAAGCUAUCUGCAAAAGUCCAUCUGCAGAAAGGGCUUCCUGGUCUUGCGUGUGGCUGGGCCAUUUCUCUGGAUGCAGGUUUUUCAUUAUACAGUCUUCUCAAAGAACCACCUGCUCUCAACACCUUCUCGGUGACUCCAUUUCCCC
rnacentral:lncRNA from 10 species